rfam:Simiduia agarivorans SA1 = DSM 21679, complete genome.
UGUUAUGAAAGAGUCUUUCUUCCAAACAACUUGCAUAUUCAAUUGUUAUUUAAUUGUAAGGUGAAUGAAAUGGCACUGAGUGCAGUAGAAAAAGCGGACAUCGUUAAAGAGUAUCAGCAGGCCGAA